UACGGAGGGGGCAAGCGUUGUUCGGAAUUACUGGGCGUAAAGGGCUCGUAGGCGGUCUGUUGCGUCGGCUGUGAAAACCCGGGGCUCAACCCCGGGCCUGCAGCCGAUACGAGCAGACUAGAGUUCGGCAGGGGAGACUGGAAUUCCUGGUGUAGCGGUGAAAUGCGCAGAUAUCAGGAGGAACACCGGUGGCGAAGGCGGGUCUCUGGGCCGAAACUGACGCUGAGGAGCGAAAGCGUGGGGAGCGAACAGG
rnacentral:rRNA from 1 species